CGGAAAGAAAACUUGAAUACCAAGAAAGUCACCACACUCUGAGGUUAAGAACAGAAAUAUGGGAAAGGUGGCAACAGAAUAAAUCAAAACAUAGAUUUAAAACGCACGAUGAACUGGCCACGGCAUUGAUGAAUCUUUGGGAGUCGAAACAUGAUCAGCAAUCACUUGGUGAGGAAUGGCAUGAAGUUAUGCAGACUGAAGGAGAAAAAACACCAGAAAAAAAUUACCAGUGUAGCAAAACCCACAAUAUCUACUCCCCUUGAAGACCAGCCACCAGUUUUAUCCAUGUUGCCAGAUGUAUCAGAUAUUUCUGAAGGCUCUGGUUGUCCUUAUGUAUAAACAAGCCAAACCAUUUGAACAACUUUAGAAGAGAACCACCCAUGGAACAUUCAGGCGGAGAAUCAUCAAUUUCCAAAUAAUGGUUUCAGACAGGAAGUCAUUUGAAGUAAAUGUUGAAGGACAUACAAUGGUAAGACAUCACAAUAUCUCACCUUAAGUACGCUGUGCUCUUGUGAGAUAAUGAAGCACAUACAGAAGUAUCACGUCAAGCUCUGAAUUCAACACAGAGAGACAAAUCAACCAAUAUGGUUUAUCUUGUAUACAAUAAGAAUUAGAUACUGUAAAAUCAUUUA